rnacentral:rRNA from 1 species
UGGGGAAUAUUGGACAAUGGGGGGAACCCUGAUCCAGCGAUGCCGCGUGGGUGAAGAAGGCCUUCGGGUUGUAAAGCCCUUUAGGUUGGGAAGAAAGGUAUUAGGUUAAGAGCUAGAUACUGUGACGGUACUAACAGAAUAAGCACCGGCAAACUCUGUGCCAGCAGCCGCGGUAAUACAGAGGGUGCGAGCGUUAAUCGGAAUUACUGGGCGUAAAGGGCGCGUAGGCGGUGAUACGAGUGUGAUGUGAAAGCCCCGGGCUUAACCUGGGAAGAGCAUCGCAAACUGUAUUAGCUGGAGUAUAUGAGAGGGUGGCGGAAUUUCCGGUGUAGCGGUGAAAUGCGUAGAGAUCGGAAGGAACGUCGAUGGCGAAGGCAGCCACCUGGCAUGAUACUGACGCUGAGGCGCGAAAGCGUGGGGAGCGAACAGGAUUAGAUACCCCCGUAGUCC